CCUGAAUGGAUAGCACCUUUUUACGUCACUCACAGAUGCAACCAACAGCCACAAGAGGGUAGGAUGUUGGAGAAACCACUCAUUUGGCCAGCAUCUUCAAGAAUGCUACAUCCGUCGGGCGAGACGCUAAGCGUACACGAAACACAAGAGUGGAAAUUCAGGAGCAAAAGAAUCCGGCACAGAGGAAUGUUGCGGAGGAGAAGACUUCUCCCUACACAUGGUGUCAGCAGUUGGGAUGAAUAGGGGUUAAUUGUUAUCUUUGGUUAUCUAGCUGUAUGAGUGUUGUCAAUUCUUCAUAAAGCUAGAUAACCGAAAGUAAAAAUAAUCCCAUUACGCGCCUUGUUAUACACCAGUGUUGAUAUCAGAGAGAAGAAGAACCUGGCCCAGAACUUCCAAAAAGGAAACAGGACAAAAAAAAAUUGGAUUGAAGCUGAAGAACUCAGAAUUUAUUUUAAAUCUUACUUUGCUCCUGGAAUUAAAAUCUGGAGGUAGGACUAUUCUCAUCCAUCUUCUGCAACCUAUAAUGACUUAUCAAUGACCUUGUUAUGGACUAACAAGACCAAGACCUCCAGGUGCCUCAUGGUUGAGUUACCAACAGGUAUUCUAUGGGAAGAAAAAGACUUGUCCAGGACUUAAAACAUAAAAAGUACCACCCGGAUAAAAUAAAAAUAAUGGAUGGAUGUGUAUAAUAUAAUUAAGAAUUUCUGAUCAUCAUGGGGCCUACGUAACCAUCUGAUCGGAUUAUGAGCUCAGAUUUUUUUUUAUUAUCCUACAGUCAUGUGUAUGGGCCUAAAGGAGGCUGAAGAGUGAAGAAAUUGAUUUUAAGGAUUUUUUUAUUUUUGUUUUUAAAUUGUGGGUAUUUUCUUUACCUUUUAAUUUUGAAUUUAAUUUAAACAUUUUUGAAUCUGUAAUUACUGACAUUAGAAAUAUUGGCUAUGGGCAAAAAAUAAAUUAAAAAAUUAUAAUAUUAAUGAUAAAAAAAAGUCAUGACUUUGUUAGAAAAACAAUACUAUUUUCAAAAAAAAGUAAAAAAAAUAGUUUCUGCUAAAAUUUUGUACUCUUAUAUAUUUUUUCUCUAAUAAUUGGACUAGUUCAGUGGAGAGAGAGAGAGAAAAAAAAGAAUGUGUCUCCGGCCCCUGUUUGAUUCAGCCCCGUAUAAUUAACUUGUUUUACACUAGAAUAGCUUUGUAAGAAAACUUUUUAUUCGAGUCUGUGGAAGCGACAUUUGACCAGAGGUCCCUGCCUGCUGAGAGGGAUUGGGUUUUUAAUCCCACCCCCUAUGUAAGGGGAUUAUGCAGUUAGUAAAUGCUCUAAAAUAAAAGACCUACUGGAAUCAAACCUAAACACGAACAAGAGAUAGUUAACCCCAUUGAUUUCGGUUCUCUCUCUCUCACAGUUAAUGGGGUUAAGCUGUAAUUGGGAGUACACGAUUGUAAAAUACUUUUGCCUGGCCUGGCUGUGUAGAACGUGCUGUGAAAGUGCCCUAAAUCGACAAAUAUGGCCCUGGAUAAAGCUGUUUUAAGACAAUGUUCUGACCAUUUGUCUACGAGAUUGCAGUCUACUCGAGAAGCAAUCCAAUGGCUAUUCACCAUAAAAGGGGUCAAAGUCCCAGUGGAAUCACCAGCCUGGCAUAGAAGGAUAGUAAUAAUCCCCAAAGUGUACAAUUUGCCAAUUUGAGUGUUAACCCCUUAGCUAGGAGAGGUAUAUGGCCUGACUUCAUUGGAUGGGAUGGUAAUGAAUGGUGCUGGUAAGGGGCCCAAACAUAUCAUCUUAUGGAGAUGAUCGUCAAUAGGGAGUGGCUUAAAGAUCAUAUUAUUGCCAAGAUGUCUGGUUGUUUAAUGGAAGCUUUGUUUCUAUGUAGCUUAUAUAUAGGUGAUAUGAAGAGCAGCCAUGAUGAAUCACCUAACAUGGGUCAAUAUUUUGUGUGGAUAUGGAGAUGGUGGUCGAGAAAUGUUCACCUCUACGAUAGAUUGUCAUAGACUUCCCCACCGGGUGGGCGAUAAUGGAAUGUUCUAGAAGGAUGGGAUGUUUGUAUUGCCUCCUUAUAAUAUACGUCCUCUCCUUCUAGUUGUAUUGUAUCCAUGUAUGCAUGUCCUUUCCCUUUAAA